AAAACGACUCUCGGCAACGGAUAUCUCGGCUCUCGCAUCGAUGAAGAACGUAGCGAAAUGCGAUACUUGGUGUGAAUUGCAGAAUCCCGUGAACCAUCGAGUCUUUGAACGCAAGUUGCGCCCGAAGCCAUAUGGCCGAGGGCACGUCUGCCUGGGUGUCACAC
rnacentral:rRNA from 1 species